UCGGGAAUUUUGGGCAAUGGGCGAAAGCCUGACCCAGCAACGCCGCGUGAAGGAUGAAGUAUUUCGGUAUGUAAACUUCGAAAGAAUAGGAAGAAUAAAUGACGGUACUAUUUAUAAGGUCCGGCUAACUACGUGCCAGCAGCCGCGGUAAUACGUAGGGACCAAGCGUUGUUCGGAUUUACUGGGCGUAAAGGGCGCGUAGGCGGCAUGACAAGUCACUUGUGAAAUCUCUGGGCUUAACCCAGAACGGCCAAGUGAUACUGUCGCGCUAGAGUACAGAAGGGGCAAUCGGAAUUCUUGGUGUAGCGGUGAAAUGCGUAGAUAUCAAGAGGAACACCUGAGGCGAAGGCGGGUUGCUGGGCUGAUACUGACGCUGAAGCGCGAAAGCUAGGGUAGCAAACGGGAUUAGAUACCCUUGUAGUCCCUGAGCGGGCUGGCAAGGCGCAU
rnacentral:rRNA from 1 species